rnacentral:rRNA from 1 species
UACGGAGGGUGCAAGCGUUAAUCGGAAUUACUGGGCGUAAAGCGCACGCAGGCGGUCUGUCAAGUCGGAUGUGAAAUCCCCGGGCUCAACCUGGGAACUGCAUUCGAAACUGGCAGGCUAGAGUCUUGUAGAGGGGGGUAGAAUUCCAGGUGUAGCGGUGAAAUGCGUAGAGAUCGGGAGGAACACCAGUGGCGAAGGCGGCCGGCUGGGGGUGCCCUGACGCUGAGGCGCGAAAGCGUGGGGAGCGAACCGG